UCCCUGGUGGCUUAGACGGUAAAGCGUCUGCCUACAAUGCGGGAAACCCGGGUUCAAUCCCUGGGUUGGGAA
rnacentral:tRNA from 1 species